AAAGUCACGCACAUUGGCGUUCGGUAGCGAAAACAAACGUAGUUUUUCCCCCUCCCUCCAUGCUCGAACGACCUCGUCGCGGCCCGUGUAUCUACGAUUCCCUCCUCUCUACCACGCCACGAAUGGAAACGUCCGCGCCGCGACGUGUAAACACUCGCGCUUCUGCGUCGUAUCGGAAACGUUAUAGCCCGACAAUCGGGUUUUUCUUGGGCUAGGUUGCGCGCGCUAUCGUCUGGCAUCGACGCUUGUUUACCGUCUCUCGUCUAUUCUCAGCGCCCGCUUGGCGCUCUUAUCUUGCGCGCGUGUCUUCGCACGAGCGCUUGCAACUUCGUGAGGAGGCGAUAACACGCCUCCUCCCCUCCCCCUAGACUCGAGGGGGGGGAUUUAUCUUGUUGUCAGCGAUAUGCGAUAGGAAUGCGUAUGCGCUCGAUCCACUCGAUAAAGAUGGAGCUAGAUGGAAUAGAGCUUUUUGAGAUCCACUGGAUAUACUCGCCGGUUGGAAUUUCACUACGUUCCAAACGAGCCGUAGAGAGUCGUACGCGUGGUUUGAAUAAUAGAGCGACGGAGGCUCUGCGAAUAUCGUGGACGAGGA